rnacentral:rRNA from 1 species
CCUACGGGAGGCAGCAGUGGGGAAUUUUCCGCAAUGGGCGAAAGCCUGACGGAGCAAUACCGCGUGAGGGAAGAAAGCCUACUGGGUUGUAAACCUCUUUUUUCAGGGAGGAAAAAAAUGACGUGUACCUGAAGAAUAAGCAUCGGCUAACUCCGUGCCAGCAGCCGCGGUAAGACGGAGGAUGCAAGUGUUAUCCGGAAUUACUGGGCGUAAAGCGUCUGUAGGUGGUUUAAUAAGUCAACUGUUAAAUCCUGAGGCUUAACUUCAAAACAGCAGUCGAAACUAUUAGACUAGAGUAUAGUAGGGGUAAAGGGAAUUUCCAGUGGAGCGGUGAAAUGCGUAGAUAUUGGAAAGAACACCGAUGGCGAAAGCACUUUACUGGGCUAUUACUAACACUCAGAGACGAAAGCUAGGGUAGCAAAUGGGAUUAGAUACCCCAGUAGUCCUAGCUGUAAACAAUGGAUACUAGAUGUUGAACAGAUCGACCUGUGCAGUAUUAAAGCUAACGCGUUAAGUAUCCCGCCUGGGAAGUAUGCUCGCAAGAGUGAAACUUAAAGGAAUUGACGGNNGAGAACGUGCGAGCGACGACGAGGGAGAGG